CCAAUAGCGUAUAUUAAAGUUGUUGCAGUUAAAAAGCUCGUAGUUGAACUUCGGGAUCAAUGAGUUGGUCGUGCCUUUGGUAUGAACUGGCUUUAUUGGUUCUCACCUUCUAAUGAACCAUAAUGUCAUUCAUUUGAUGUUUUGGGGAAUUAGGACUGUUACCUUGAAAAAAUUAGAGUGUUUAAAGCAGGCUCACGCUUGAAUACAUUAGCAUGGAAUA
rnacentral:rRNA from 1 species